rnacentral:rRNA from 1 species
CAGCAGCCGCGGUAAUACGUAGGUGGCAAGCGUUGUCCGGAAUUAUUGGGCGUAAAGGGCUCGCAGGCGGUUUCUUAAGUCUGAUGUGAAAGCCCCCGGCUCAACCGGGGAGGGUCAUUGGAAACUGGGAAACUUGAGUGCAGAAGAGGAGAGUGGAAUUCCACGUGUAGCGGUGAAAUGCGUAGAGAUGUGGAGGAACACCAGUGGCGAAGGCGACUCUCCGGUCUGUAACUGACGCUGAGGAGCGAAAGCGUGGGGAGCGAACAGGAUUAGAUACCCCUGUAGUCCCUGUCUCUUAUAU